UACGAAGGGGGCUAGCGUUGUCCGGAUUUACUGGGCGUAAAGGGCGUGCAGGCGGUUUGUCUAGUCUAGGGUGAAAGCUCCCGGCUUAACUGGGAGAGGUCCUUGGAUACUGGCAAACUUGAGGGAGGCAGAGGAAAGUGGAAUUCCCGGUGUAGUGGUGAUAUGCGUAGAUAUUCGGAGGAACACCAGUGGCGAAGGCGGCUCACUGGUCCAUUACUGACGCUGAGGUGCGAAAGCGUGGGGAGCAAACAGGG
rnacentral:rRNA from 1 species